UACGAAGGGGCUAGCGUUGCUCGGAAUCACUGGGCGUAAAGGGUGCGUAGGCGGGUCUUUAAGUCAGGGGUGAAAUCCUGGAGCUCAACUCCAGAACUGCCUUUGAUACUGAGGAUCUUGAGUAUGGGAGAGGUGAGUGGAACUGCGAGUGUAGAGGUGAAAUUCGUAGAUAUUCGCAAGAACACCAGUGGCGAAGGCGGCUCACUGGCCCAUUACUGGACGCUGAGGCACGAAAGCGUGGGGAGCAAACAGGG
rnacentral:rRNA from 1 species